rnacentral:rRNA from 1 species
UGAGUACAAGAUGCUACGGCAUUGAAGCAGUCUAUGUCAUACUUCCAAGAAAAGCUUGCAAUGUCAUAAACAAAUAAUGCCUGUACCAUAACCGACACAGGUGGGUAGGUAGAGUAUACUAAGGGGCGCGAGAUAACUCUCUCUAAGGAACUCGGCAAAAUGACUCCGUAACUUCGGGAGAAGGAGUACCUUAUUUUAUAAGGUUGCAAUAACAAGGUCCAAGCAACUGUUUACCAAAAACACAGGUCUCCGCUAAGUCGUAAGACGAUGUAUGGGGGCUGACGCCUGCCCAGUGCCAGAAGGUUAAAGAAGUUGGUUAGCAUUAGCGAAGCUGAUAACUGAAGCCCUGGUGAACGGCGGCCGUAACGAUAACGGUCCUAAGGUAGCGAAAUUCCUUGUCGGGUAAGUUCCGACCCGCACGAAAGGCGUAAUGAUUUGGAUACUGUCUCGGAGAGGGGCUCGGUGAAAUAGACUUGUCUGUGAAGAUGCGGACUACCUGCACCUGGACAGAAAGACCCUAUGAAGCUUUACUGUAACUUGAGAUUGAAAUUGGACUUUAUUUGCGCAGUAUAGGUGGGAGACCUCGAAAGUAUUCUUGCGGGAAUAUUGGAGUCAUCAGUGAGAUACCACUCUUAUAAUGUUAGAUUUCUAACUUUGUAUCAUUAUCUGGUCAAAGAACAGUUUCAGGCGGGCAGUUUGACUGGGGCGGUCGCCUCCCAAAUGGUAACGGAGGCGCACAAAGGUUUCCUCUGAACGUGUAGAAAUCGUAUCUAGAGUGUAAAGGCAUAAGGAAGCUUGACUGUGAGACCUACAAGUCGAGCAGGGACGAAAGUCGGUCUUAGUGAUCUGACGGUGCUGAGUGGAAAGGCCGUCACUCAACGGAUAAAAGUUACUCUAGGAUAACAGGCUGAUCUCCCCCAAGAGUUCACAUCGACGGGGAGGUUUGGCACCUCGAUGUCGGCUCAUCGCAUCCUGGGGCGGUAGUACGUCCCAAGGGUUGGGCUGUUCGCCCAUGAAAGCGGUACGCGAGCUGGGUUCAGAACGUCGUGAGACAGUUCGGUCCAUAUCCGGUGUAGGCGUUAGAAUAUUGAGAGGAGCCUUCUUUAGUACGAGAGGACCGAGAAGGACAUACCUCUGGUGUACCAGUUAUCGUGCCAACGGUAAACGCUGGGUAGCUAUGUAUGGAGAGGAUAACCGCUGAAAGCAUCUAAGUGGGAAGCCCACCUCAAGAUAAGUAUUCUCAC